rfam:Salmo salar isolate Sally breed double haploid chromosome ssa10, whole genome shotgun sequence.
UGUAUUCACUACUGUAAGUCGCUCUGGAUAAGAGUGUCUGCUAAAUGACUAAAU